rnacentral:rRNA from 1 species
GAUGAACGCUAGCGGCAGGCCUAACACGUGCAAGUCGAGGGAGGAGCUUUCGGGCUUCGACCGGCGUACGGGUGCGUAACGCGUAUACAAUCUGCCUUUCACAUAGGGAUAGCCCGAAGAAAUUUGGAUUAAUACCUAAUGGUAUAUAGAGGUGGCAUCACCUUUAUAUUAAAGCUGAGGCGGUGAAAGAUGAGUAUGCGUUCUAUUAGCUAGUUGGAGAGGUAACGGCUCCCCAAGGCGACGAUAGAUAGGGGUUCUGAGAGGGAUAUCCCCCACACUGGUACUGAGAUACGGACCAGACUCCUACGGGAGGCAGCAGUGAGGAAUAUUGGACAAUGGUCGGAAGACUGAUCCAGCCAUGCCGCGUGCAGGAAGACGGCCUUAUGGGUUGUAAACUGCUUUUGCAGGGGAAGAAUAAGGACUACGCGUAGUUUGAUGACGGUACUCUGCGAAUAAGCAUCGGCUAACUCCGUG